GAUGAACGCUGGCGGCGUGCCUAAUACAUGCAAGUCGAGCGAACGGACGAGAAGCUUGCUUCUCUGAUGUUAGCGGCGGACGGGUGAGUAACAAGUGGAUAACCUACCUAUAAUACUGGGAUAACUUCGGGAAACCGGAGCUAAUACCGGAGCAUAUUUUGAACCGAAUGGUUCAAAAGUUCAACACGGUUUUCGUGUCACUUAUAGACGGUUCCGCGCUGCAUUAGCUAGUUGGUAAGGUAACAGCUUACCAAGGCAACGAUGCAUAGCCGACCUGAGAGGGUGAUCGGCCACACUGGAACUGAGACACGGUCCAGACUCCUACGGGAGGCAGCAGUAGGGAAUCUUCCACAAUGGGCGAAAGCCUGACGGAGCAACGCCGCGUGAGUGAUGAAGGUCUUCGGAUCGUAAAACUCUGUUAUUAGGGAAGAACAUAUGUGUAAGUAACUGUGCACAUCUUGACGGUACCUAAUCAGAAAGCCACGGCUAACUACGUG
rnacentral:rRNA from 1 species